UGGGGUGCUCUAUAUUCAAGGUAAGUUUAAUGGGAGUUGACCCAAUAGGUUUGCUUAAAGUCAUUCUGGAGAGUAGGGGUUUUCCAUCUUUGUCAAUCCUGUCCAAUGCACUCUGGGGUCUGUAGCCCCAUGGUCUACCCGUAUUCCACCCGGCGGCUUUCCAUGAACUACAAUGAUGCCCCCAUACUCCUCCAGUCACACAAAUGUAGGGAUCCUUCUUAUUAGGUAUGUCUUUGUAUAUGGCUGCAUAUUGUGUUUGUGGAAAGGUGCAAACAACUAUGUCACAGUAGUCAAAUGUAUAUGUGGCCACAUCUGUGUUAGAGGAGUUAUACCAGAAGGUGUAAACAUGAUUAUCUUUGGUUAUGGCCACUU